CUCAGUUCGGAUUGGAGUCUGCAACCCGACUCCAUGAAGCUGGAUUCGCUAGUAAUCGCGCAUCAGCCACGGCGCGGUGAAUACGUUCCCGGGCCUUGUACACACCGCCCGUCAAGCCAUGGAAGCCGGGGGUGCCUGAAGUGUGCAGCCGCAAGGAGCGCCCUAAGGUAAAACCGGUGACUGGGGCUAAGUCGUAACAAGGUACC
rnacentral:rRNA from 1 species